rnacentral:lncRNA from 10 species
GGCUGUUGCAAAGGUAGAGAGGGAGAAGUGACGAUGGUGAUCGUUGCUGCCGCGGCCGAUAUGGAACCCAAGCAGUGGCGAAGGGAAUCGCAAGGCUCUUCCCUGACCAUUUUCUACUGUCCCUGCGCGAGGUGAGGGCCCCGGCUCGGCCUCUGCAAAACUUUGGGGCGCUGGCGCGGAGGAGGAGACAGGAUUUCUCCCGUGACUUUUGUAACUGCGUCAGGGCAAGAUGGCGCUGGGUCUCUUUGGGGCGCGGGGGGAGAGGCACGUCCACCGCCGCAGCGCAUGUGACCGGGCUGCAUUCCUGUGGGGUUUGGCUCCGACCCAGGCCGGGGCGGGGGAGGGGACAGGGCUUGGGCGGAGGAGACUGUGGUGCGGUCGGCGUUGGCGGCCUGAAGAGGAAGAGAUGACUGUUGGAAAGCGUUCCCCUCCCCCAUACGGCAGAACAGCUGCGGCUCCCAGGGGAAAGCCCCCGCAGGACAGUCCUCGUGGGGUGUGACGGCUGUUGGUGGAGAAGGUUUGGCGCCCUAUUUUCUUAUCUGCCUUUCUCCCCGCAAAGUAUACUUAUGUAAGGUGGUAGUUCCCUGACGUGGGACUCGGAAUCAACUAGGAGUCCUUGAGGGCCUCUGGGAGGCCUAGCGAGGGGUAGACCAGCUUCUGGGGGUACAACGUCAAGGAGGAUCGAUUACUUUCUGAGGAAACAGUUUCUCAGAUUGAAAUAGAAAAGUAUUUCCAAAGUUUGGAAACAAAUUUAAAGGUGUAAAUAACACCCAGGAACACUUUAAUUGCUUUGAAAAGGCAUAAGCAGCCAUCUGAAUUUAAGGGCCCUUUUCAGACUCUUCCUUCCUCCUGUGAUUCCUGUUCUUUAUUUCAGUUUUCUGUCUGUACAUCCCUUAAGAAUAUAGUUUUGUCGGUGGGAUUCGCUCUUUUGUGCCCAGGCUGGAGUGCAGAGGCGAGAUCUCGGCCCACUGCAACCUCCGCCUCCCCGGGUUCAGGCGAGUCUCCUGCCUCAGCCUCCCAGGUAGCUGGGAUUACAGGCGCCCACAACCACACCCUGCUAAUUUUUUCUAUUUUUAGUAGAGACGGGGUUUCACCCCAUUGACCAGGCUGGUCUCGAACUCUCGAGAUCCGCCCGUCUCAGCUUCCCAAAGUGCUGGGAUUAUAGGCAUGAGCCACCGCGCCGGGCCUGCUUUUUUUUUUUUUUUUUUUUUUUGCACUGGGCAUUAGUAAUACGGAAUAAAAGCCGUGUUUUAAACUGUAU